UACGAGUUGUGCAAACGUUAUUCGGAAUUACUGGGCGUAAAGGGCGCGUAGGCGGCUUGGCCAGUCAGGCGUGAAAUUCCUGGGCUUAACCUGGGGACUGCGCUUGAUACUGCUGGGCUUGAGGCCGAGAGAGGGUGGUGGAAUUCCCAGUGUAGAGGUGAAAUUCGUAGAUAUUGGGAAGAACACCGGUGGCGAAGGCGACCACCUGGCUCGGUACUGACGCUGAGGUGCGAAAGCGUGGGGAGCAAACAGG
rnacentral:rRNA from 1 species